GCGGGAGUAACUCAGUGGCAGAGUUCCUGCCUUCCAAGCAGGGUGUCGCGGGUUCGAAUCCCGUCUCCCGCUCCA
rnacentral:tRNA from 1 species